rnacentral:lncRNA from 11 species
AUGGCUUUCCCCUGCUGCUGCUGCUCUUGGUUCUCAGUUGCUGGAGAAGAGAGGGAACCCCUCAAUAUACAGCAUCCAAAUAAAUGUCGUGAAAACAAGAGAACAGCUGGCUUCAGCAAAGACAAACCCCUCACAGUGAAAAGGGUUAACGUGCCUGAGAUUGACACGCUUUUUGAGAACAUUUCUGAGACUUUUAAUAAGCAGCAAGGAGAUUGCUUGGCUGUCUGGGAGGCCAUCCAGGGGCUGAAAAAAGCCUACAACUGCUCACCUGCAAGCUAUCUUUCUGUAUGCAUGGAGAAGAUACAGCAAGAACACAGUGAUUAUAGUGUGCAGGUGCACAUGGAAGGAUACAGGUUUGGGCUGAAUGUGGGGGAUAAAGAAGUCCCUGAGCAACUGAAGCAGGCCCAAGAGCAGGUGGGGGAGCUGAACCGUGCCACCAUAGGCAUCAUCAGUUCACACACAACACUCCAAGAAAUGAUCCACUCAGUGCUUCAAAGCCAGGACAAGUUGCGAGAGAAAAUAAAAGUCACAAACUCUGAGCACCUAGAUUGGAUCCGCCUCGAAGGAAACCUGACAGAAAAUAUUGAAAAAAUCCAUCUGGCUGAACAGUUCUCAAAACAGUAUAAAGAAGAAGCCAAUGGUUUGCUCAAGGAAAUGUCCAAGUCAGCUGGCUUGACUUCCUAAGAAAGAGUUGAGAAUGAACCUGUAAUAGUUUGCAUUUCUUACUACAGAGAAGCUUUAAGGUGUUUUUGUCAAAAAGACUUUUGGGUAUAGUUCAACUGCACAAAUUGUCCACAAAUUAGAACUGAUCAAGAGAUUUCUGGAAGAACAAUCUUAUAUAACCACGUGUCAGAAGAUAAUGUCUCAAGGAAUUCUCACAUAGCUAUGGCUCUGAGAAAUUGCCAGUGAAAAAACAAACCUAAAUGCCACUAAAUUACAAAUUGCUUCUAAGUGGCAAAAAUGCAGUGCUGUUGCUCCCAAAUAGAUAUCACUUUUCUUGGUCAUGUCGGUAUUAACCAUUUAGUUUUGAAUCAUGUUUGCCCCAGGGCACAGGUGAAUAAGAAACUGCUAGGGCAGUGAAAUGACUCCCCCUUGCUUUUUAAGGGGGGAAGUCAGUUGCCAAGUAUUAUGAAGGACUGCUGGGUCAUUCUUGUUUCCAGUGCAGCCUUAGCAUCUGGAUUCUAGAAACUUUCAAGGGCCAAGUAUGUCAACCAAAGUGUUAGGUAGACAAAGAAAAAUAAUAGCUGCAGACUUGGGACAAAUGAAACAAGUAGAAAUAUUCUUUCUGUUCUCAACAUAAUCAAGCUCUCCAAGACAUACUUCAGAACCCAAAUGAGGGAAGGCUUCAUGCACUGCCUGCCUGCUCUGUGCUUACAGCAACUGUUCAUUCUUACUUUUAAAUAUGUAUAUGUAUGCAUAUUUUCAUCCCUUGCAUUUUUGCACUGUCACCAUCCAGGAUAAGCAUACUAGUAUCCAAGAUGCCUCCUUCAACUUAUUUUGAUCAUAAGAAAAAUCCCUUUUUUCAAACUGUCAUCUGCCUUUAAGUCAGGAUUUUUUUUCUCUUUCAGGAGUGACUUGAGAAAUUGCAAGUCACUUCUGGUGUGAGAGAAUUGGCUGUCUGCAAGGACGUUGCACAGGGAACGCCUGGAUAUUUGAUGUUUUACCAUCCUUGUGGGAGGCGUCUCUCAUGUCCCCGCAUGGAGUAAUCUGUGCUGUCCCCAGGUUGGAUUCGAACUGGCAACCUUCAGGUCAGCAACCCAACCUUCAAGUCAGCAGUCCUGCCAGCACAAGGGUUUAACCCACUGCACCACCGAGGGCUCCUAGGUUCAGAAUACUAGCACCUAAUAGCUUCCCCCAUUGAUGGAAUGAAAUUUUUCUUCCUACUUUUUCUAGUUCUUUUCCCCAAACCAUCUCCAUUUUUAUGAUUUGGUACUUGGAAAAACUUGUGUUCAAGAGAACCCUUUGACCCAUCCCAGCUAUUGUGUGAUGUAAGAAAAUAUAUGUAGUAAUGUAGUAAUCCAUAAUAUUUAAGGAACAGUAGGAUUCUAAUCUGUAAAACAAACUUCUAUAUCACAAGAGACACCAAAAGGCAACUUUUUAUUCUGUUUCCUGUGUAAUUACUUAUACAGUAUUCACAUUUCAGACUUUUUCUCUCUUAUUGUUUCCUUGUUCUCCACAGUCCAAAAACUUUAGCCAUGUCUGUUAUCUACAUUAAUGUCUUUAUCAUUCACCAUGAUGAUAAAGGACCCCUCACAGCAUUAUCUCUUUAUAUUUUGACAAGUCUCUUUACUCCUAGCCAAUCUAUCUUGCAUACUACUCCAUCAGAGUUUUUAAAAAAAAUAGAUACUUGUCUUAUUUGAAUGAUGCCUAUGUGCAUACUUUGCAUAUAUUUGUAAUAAACUUUAUUCAAUUAUUCUAUUAUUUGCAUUCAAUCUUAUUGCUAAUUCAGUUUUCCAUCCGUUGCUUUUAUCUGCCUGAGUAACCCAGUUCCUUUCUCUAUGCACCAUCACUCUAGGCUAAUAAAUUGAAAAACAUAUGUAUAUGCAAACAUUACACAUGUGGAUGAUGAGACAUAGCAACAGGAAGUAUGAUAGAGGGAUGACUUUUGUCUACUAUCUGGAACACAGUGUCAGCUAUGCAAUAAAUGAGUGUUGACAUAAUCAGAAGACGUAAUGUACUGAGAUGCACUAAGCUCUAAUCGGUACAUAAAUGCUAUUGCUUAUUACCUUAUUGCCACAGAAAACAGAAUAUGACAAUUAUGAAGUGCUAUUCAGUUGUAAGAAGACAUUCUGCUCCUGUACCAUUUUUGCUGUAUCACUGCAGUACAGUAAAGGGUUGAUGGCCUCUGUCUAGGGUGGUUUUUCAAGACCAAUCCAAACCCUAUGAAAUAUAUGGGGUCACCAUAAGGCAACAGGUCACUUGAAGUUGUAUGUGUGUGCACACACCUUCAAGUGUGUGUGUGUGCGCGCACACACACAUACAUACAGAACACAAGAGUGGUCAUAAGAAGCUUGUGUCAGCAGACCAUAUAUGACCACAUGGAGAAACCUAAUUUAUAGCAGAGUAAAUUAAUUCUUAGAGUCAGUCCAACAAAAUAACAUCAAUGCAGAACUGUGGUAAAGAAACUAGAAUAUUCUUUUUCUGUUUCACUUUCGUUUUCUGAGUUUUUUAUGUCUAAAGUUUUAAGUCUUUCAUAUUUAUACAAUGGUGAUUCUUUCAAAUUAGUAAGUACAAGCAGCAGAUUAGUUCGGAAGUUAUUGAAAUUAAGGAAGAGGAAGGGGGAACAUGACCUUCAGCCAUCUCCAAUCAGACCUAAAUUCUGGUUAUCCUGAAUUUUCGUGAACUAGAAGGAAAACAUCUAAAGUCAUUUCCAGAACUGGACAAUGUAUACUUUUCCAUAGAUUUUAGUGUUUUGACCAAAUUCAUGUCCCAUUUUAUUCCCUUCUGCAUUUCCAGUCAUACAGACUGAUGAAACGUGAUAAAAAGAUAAUCUUGAUAUAGUUGUAGAUAGAAUUAACAAACCUGUCAAUCUGGAUUUUGCUCCAUUUCUCAUUUUCCCUUCCUUACAUUCCCCUUUAGCUAUCAUGUAAUCUUUUGAAAUAAUAAUUUAAAUUGGUAUAUAUGUGUGUGCGUGUGUGUGUUUUGGCACAUUUCUCCUUAUAUGCAUAUGCAAGCAAUAUUAAUGCAUUGUAAAAUAUUUUUAUUAAUUUAUAUAUUCACUUACUUUUUAUAUUUUAUGCAUUUUUGAUUGAAGAACCACCUCAUAAAAUGUAGAAAGUGAUAAAUUUGUUUCAGUUCGGAGAAAGAGAAUUAGAUAAAGCAAGUACAAGACAAUUUUGAACAUUCCCCUUUUGAAGGAAGACUUCAACUGUUUUUAGGCAUGACAAUCUUCUAUAUGUGCAAUACUUUCAUUCCUUAUAUUUUUCUAUGUUUAUGAAAGAUCCUGUAUCUAUUAAUUUGGUUCAAGUCCGAAUAAAAAUAACUUUAGACCCUAG